UUCCGGUUGAUCCUGCCGGACCUGACUGCUAUUGGAGUAGGACUAAGUCACGCUAGUCAAAGGUGCGGAAUGGAGCACCUGGCGUACGGCUCAGUAACACGUAGUCAACCUACCCUAAGGACGAGGACAACCACGGGAAACUGUGGCUAAUACUCGAUAAGAAACUUGGCCUGGAACGGUAUCUUUCACAAAACCGGCUCGCCGUGAGACACGGGCCUUAGGAUGGGGCUGCGGCUGAUUAUGCUAGAUGGCGGUGUAAAGGACCACCAUGGCUACGAUCAGUAUGGGCGAUGGAAGUCGGAGCCCAGAGUCGGCUACUGAGACAAGGAGCCGAGCUUUACGAAGCUUAGCGGUCGCGAAAACUCGCCAAUGCACGAAAGUGUGAGUGGGCUACUCCAAGUGUCAUUCUUACGGAUGACUGUCGCACAGUCUUACCAGCUGUGAAAGGAAGGAGAGGGCAAGGCUGGUGCCAGCCGCCGCGGUAAAACCAGCUCUUCGAGUGGUCAGGACGAAUAUUGGGUCUAAAGCGCUCGUAGCCGGACAAGUAGGUUCUUGGUUAAAUCCGACAGCAUAACUGUUGGUCUGCUGGGAAUACCGCUAGUCUUGGGAGCGGGAGAGGACAGAGGUAGUCAUAGGGCAGGGGUGAAAUCCAGUGAUCCUAUGGCGACCACCGAUGGCGAAGGCAUCUGUCUGGAACGUAUCCGACGGUGAGGGGCGAAAGCUAGGGGAGCGACCCGGAUUAGAUACCCGGUUAGUCCUGGCCGUAGACGAUGCGGACUAGGUGUUACAGCGGCCAAGAGCCACUGUAGUGCCACAGUGAAGACGUUAAGUCCGCCACCUGGGGAGUACGGAUGCAAGUCUGAAACUUAAAGGAAUUGACGGGGGCGCACCACCAGGAGUGAAGCCUGCGGUUUAAUUGG
rnacentral:rRNA from 1 species